UCCCCCUGGCAAUGGGCAAGGAAAUACCUUAAUGGUGAUGUUUUUCUUAUAUCAGCCAGGGCAGAGCAGAUGGCAAUCUUUUGUUCAUCCUAGCUUUAUACUUAGUUUGGUGGCCAAAGCUGUCUUACAUCUAGGACUCAUAA